AGUGCCGUCCAAUGUAAGAGCCAAAAACUAUAUGCAUGCACUGAAAGCACGUAUUGUGUAAUGAACACCACAGGAAUGACAAUAAACUACGCCUGGUGCUCUCUAUUGAAUAAUGGGAGCAAAUUGAAUAAUAACUUUACAUUAGAAGUGACGAAUAAUAUGGCAUACAUAUUAACAAGAAAAGAAUAUGAAGGUAGAUGGAACUGUUCAUUCUUAGUACUCAAACAGCUUAGUACUCAAGUCUUCGCCAAUCAGCGUUAUUUAUACAAAAAUGAAACAUACGUAAUAACUACCUGCAUUUUUAACGUUGAUGUUUUAACCAAACCAUCGAAUUCAACCGCAGCAG